UUGUCGAUUUUGCCCAUGGUAGACGCGUGUUGGUAAGGGAACGAGGCUGAAUUUACGCAUUUUAGUCAUCUGGGAAAAGAAGAAAGGUGGAAAACUAGAGCUCUUCCAUUUGCUUCCAUAGAUUUCUCGAGCUUUCUCUCAAGCCUGGAACCCUAGCCUCCGUAAGCGAACCAAUUUAAUUCGAAGAAAAUGUUACCCAGAAAAGCUAGGGUUUCCUGGUGCAGAGAAUGGUGUGUACUAUGAAGGAAGCUUGCCUUGUAUUAGAAGUAUGUUGAUGUCUUGGGCUCCCAUCGAAAUCUCUGAUAUCGCUCCUGAUAGGUUUUUGUUGUACAUUUUUUUCUCCUUUCAUUUUUUAAAAUGUAUACACGAAAACUUUGGAAUGUCAAUGAUAACGUGUCUAUAGAAUUGCACCAACACAAUGUACCACUAUGUUAUUUCGAUGCAUUUUCUACAAAUUUAGGAUUUAGACAGAGUAAUGAUUGAGAUAAGGGUACGAUGUGGCUGAUAUGAACUCAAUCCAAUUCUUAGCUUCUUAACGUGGA